rnacentral:rRNA from 1 species
UACGGAGGGUGCAAGCGUUAUCCGGAUUCACUGGGUUUAAAGGGUGCGCAGGUGGGCAGGUAAGUCAGUGGUGAAAUCUCCGGGCUUAACCCGGAAACUGCCGUUGAUACUAUUUGUCUUGAAUAUUGUGGAGGUAAGCGGAAUAUGUCAUGUAGCGGUGAAAUGCUUAGAUAUGACAUAGAACACCAAUUGCGAAGGCAGCUUACUACACAACGAUUGACGCUGAGGCACGAAAGCGUGGGGAUCAAACAGG